UUGCAGUUAAAAAGCUCGUAGUUGGAUUUUGGUUAAGAGGGCGCGGUCGGCCGUUUGGUCUGUACUGCGUUGUCUUGACUUCCUGAUGAGGACAUGCUCUUGGUUAACGCUGAGACAUGGAGUCAUCGUGGUUACUUUGAAAAAAUUAGAGUGUUCAAAGCGGGCUUACGCUUGAAUAUAUUAGCAUGGAAUAACACUAUAGGACUCCUGUCCUAUCUCGUUGGUCUCGGGAUGGGAGUAAUGAUUAAGAGGAACAGUUGGGGGCAUUCGUAUUUCAUUGUCAGAGGUGAAAUUCUUGGAUUUAUGAAAGACGAACUUCUGCGAAAGCAUUUGCCAAGGAUGUUUUCAUUAAUCAAGAACGAAAGUUGGGGGCUCGAAGAUGAUUAGAUACCAUCCUAGUCUCAACCAUAAACGAUGCCGACUAGGGAUUGGUGGAUGUUAAUUGAUGACUUCACCAGCACCUUAUGAGAGAUCAAAGUUUUUGGGUUCCGGGGGGAGUAUGGUCGCAAGGCUGAAAACUUAAAGGAAU
rnacentral:rRNA from 1 species